AACGAACGCUGGCGGCAGGCUUAACACAUGCAAGUCGAACGCAUCCUUCGGGGUGAGUGGCAGACGGGUGAGUAACGCGUGGGAACGUGCCCUUCAGUUCGGGAUAACCCAGGGAAACUUGGGCUAAUACCGGAUACGUGCGAGAGCAGAAAGAUUUAUCGCUGAAGGAUCGGCCCGCGUCUGAUUAGCUAGUUGGUGGGGUAAUGGCCCACCAAGGCGACGAUCAGUAGCUGGUCUGAGAGGAUGAUCAGCCACAUUGGGACUGAGACACGGCCCAAACUCCUACGGGAGGCAGCAGUGGGGAAUAUUGGACAAUGGGCGCAAGCCUGAUCCAGCCAUGCCGCGUGAGUGAUGAAGGCCUUAGGGUUGUAAAGCUCUUUCGUCCGGGACGAUAAUGACGGUACCGGAAGAAGAAGCCCCGGCUAACUUCGUUCCAGCAGCCGCCGUAAGAC
rnacentral:rRNA from 1 species